AUGGCAAAUUCAUAAGUUGAUAAUACUAUCCAACUUCAAGAUAAUCAAUUAUCAAAAUAGUUUAAAAAUCAUAUAAGUGCUAUCAUCACCCUCUUUUAAAAAUCGUAUACUAUUUAGAUAAUUAAAAGGAAAAAUUAUCUAAAUUUUAUAAAAUGAUAUGCUGAUGAUCUUUUUUUUACUAUAAUAGGUAACACAAUUGUACUUCAAAGAAAAUGAAUGAGUG
rnacentral:lncRNA from 1 species